rnacentral:lncRNA from 10 species
GGCAAACGGUGUUGGACGUGUAAUACCCUCAGACAGAGGCAGAAGAUAGUUGCAAACAAUAACAUAAUCGGUCGUACCAAGAAACAAGUGCUGGAACAAUGGGACUUAAGGAUAAAUCUGCCUUUCACAGCAGGGAGCCCCCCAGUGGGGCGAAUGGAAGAGAAUAUAAAGUUCCCAGGCUCUUGAAUUGAACAAAGACGGAGUCUCAGCUGCAGACAGGCCAAAUUCCAGUGGCAAAAACAAUGUCCUGAGAGCCAGAGCUUCCAACAUCUGGAGCCCAAACAGGGACCUAACAAAAGAUCAGAAUACAAUGACCCCGGGGGAUGCCUGACGAGUGUAUCAAAAAGAAGCAUUUUAGAAAAGUAUAUGUGUCCUCCCUGGAGCCGAAAACAGCAUGGGGCAGCAGAAGUGACUGCUUUUCCAUGCCAAACCUCACACUGAUGAGAAAGAUUUGCAUGUCCGAUGACGCACCAAAGAUUCUGUCUGAGGUUGAAGACAAAGAAAGGCCACUAUGAGUUCAGUAUCCAGAAGGUCCUGGAUUUCUUUCCGGCUCACAAGAAGGGAAAUUAGGGAACAUGGGCUUAAACAUGUCUUCACUGGCAUUGAAUCUGUGAGAAGUCAGCCCCACGGUUUUGAUGGGAUAAUUUGUACUAU